rnacentral:rRNA from 1 species
AUUGAACGCUGGCGGCAUGCCUUACACAUGCAAGUCGAACGGCAGCACGGGAGCAAUCCUGGUGGCGAGUGGCGAACGGGUGAGUAAUAUAUCGGAACGUGCCCAGUCGUGGGGAUAACGUAGCGAAAGCUACGCUAAUACCGCAUACGAUCUAUGGAUGAAAGCGGGGGAUCGCAAGACCUCGCGCGAUUGGAGCGGCCGAUAUCAGAUUAGGUAGUUGGUGAGGUAAAGGCUCGCCAAGCCGACGAUCUGUAGCUGGUCUGAGAGGACGACCAGCCACACUGGGACUGAGACACGGCCCAGACUCCUACGGGAGGCAGCAGUGGGGAAUUUUGGACAAUGGGCGCAAGCCCUGAUCCAGCAAUGCCGCGUGCAGGAUGAAGGCCUUCGGUUGGUAAACUUAGC